rnacentral:piRNA from 1 species
UCAAACACUCAGAUGUCAGGCCACAUGGAAC